GAUGAACGCUGGCGGCGUGCCUAAUACAUGCAAGUCGAGCGAACGGACGAGAAGCUUGCUUUUCUGAUGUUAGCGGCGGACGGGUGAGUAACACGUGGAUAACCUACCUAUAAGACUGGGAUAACUUCGGGAAACCGGAGCUAAUACCGGAUAAUAUUUUGAACCGCAUGGUUCAAAAGUGAAAGACGGUCCUGCUGUCACUUAUAGAUGGAUCCGCGCUGCAUUAGCUAGUUGGUAAGGUAACGGCUUACCAAGGCAACGAUGCAUAGCCGACCUGAGAGGGUGAUCGGCCACACUGGAACUGAGACACGGUCCAGACUCCUACGGGAGGCAGCAGUAGGGAAUCUUCCGCAAUGGGCGAAAGCCUGACGGAGCAACGCCGCGUGAGUGAUGAAGGUCUUCGGAUCGUAAAACUCUGUUAUUAGGGAAGAACAUAUGUGUAAGUAACUGUGCACAUCUUGACGGUACCUAAUCAGAAAGCCACGGCUAACUACGUG
rnacentral:rRNA from 1 species